AAAAAAUUUAAAAUACAAAUAUUUUUCCAAAUUAAGUAUUUUUUUCAUCUCACCUGUUUAACCUAGAAAUUGCAAUUCCACCAGUGUCAAUUCUCUGUAAUUCUCACUUUAGUGACUAAUGUAGUGCAAUGCAUAGUUCUGAAAGGAUUUUAUACCUAGAUACAUGUUUUGUGUUUCUGCUGUGUGAGAACUCACAUGUUUGAAAUACUGUCCCUAAAUUCUACAGCUUCACACAUUACAUGCAUGUAUUUGUUUGGGGGUACUUUGUCAAAUUAUAAUAUUACCGUGUAAGUGGAGCAUGUCAGUAGGUUCUGCU